UACGAAGGGGGGCUAGCGUUGCUCGGAAUCACUGGGCGUAAAGCGCACGUAGGCGGAUCGUUAAGUCAGGGGUGAAAUCCUGGAGCUCAACUCCAGAACUGCCUUUGAUACUGGCGAUCUUGAGUUCGAGAGAGGUGAGUGGAACUGCGAGUGUAGAGGUGAAAUUCGUAGAUAUUCGCAAGAACACCAGUGGCGAAGGCGGCUCACUGGCUCGAUACUGACGCUGAGGUGCGAAGACGUGGGGGAGCAAACAGG
rnacentral:rRNA from 1 species